GACGAACGCUGGCGGCGUGCCUAAUACAUGCAAGUAGAACGCUGAAGAGAGGAGCUUGCUCUUCUUGGAUGAGUUGCGAACGGGUGAGUAACGCGUAGGUAACCUGCCUUGUAGCGGGGGAUAACUAUUGGAAACGAUAGCUAAUACCGCAUAACAAUGGAUGACACAUGUCAUUUAUUUGAAAGGGGCACUUGCUCCACUACAAGAUGGACCUGCGUUGUAUUAGCUAGUAGGUGAGGUAAUGGCUCACCUAGGCGACGAUACAUAGCCGACCUGAGAGGGUGAUCGGCCACACUGGGACUGAGACACGGCCCAGACUCCUACGGGAGGCAGCAGUAGGGAAUCUUCGGCAAUAGGGGCAACCCUGACCGAGCAACGCCGCGUGAGUGAAGAAGGUUUUCGGAUCGUAAAGCUCUGUUGUAAGUCAAGAACGGGUGUGAGAGUGGAAAGUUCACACUGUGACGGUAGCUUACCAGAAAGGGACGGCUAACUACGUG
rnacentral:rRNA from 1 species